rnacentral:tRNA from 1 species
GGAGGCGCAUCUGAUCUGGUGAUUGGCGCGGUCUUCAAAACCGUUGGGCGUAUGCGUGAGCAUGCGUCGGUCGGGUUCGAUUCCCACACGCCUCCGCCA